rnacentral:misc_RNA from 1 species
CUACUUUAAGAGGUAAACUCAAAACUAAAGCUUGGAUGAAGAAAAAAAAUAUAGGAUAUUAUAAUGUAUAUUUUCUUGUAAUGUGCUUGAUCUAUGAAGAAUAAAUAUCAAUUAGAAAAUGGAUAAAUCUCCUGGAUUAUGUGGCACACCUCAUUUGGCAGGAAAACAGAUGAGUACUAGCUUGAAAGAACGAUUACGGCGCUUAGGACGUCUUCGUUAUUCUCCACUGUCAGUCAGCCAGGAGCCGACUACACCAAAUACUAAACAUAACACCAUUUACAAUUCAAAAUGUAUAUCACCUCAACAGAAUGUAGUCGAUAAACAUAGUAUGUCCACCAUGGACAAGAAGCACGAACAGUACAACUCUCCUAUAACAGAAAUGAAUGAAUCAGUAGCUGUUUCCAAGACUGACAAGAAACACAAACAGUACAACUCUCCUGUAACAGAAAUGAAUGAAUUAGUAGCUGUUUCCAAGACUGACACCAUAACAGUGAAUGUAUCUACAAAUGUCUUGCAUGACAGUACUUCAAGUAAGUUGCUGUGCAGAUUAAGUGAACUUCAAGGACAAAUUGCAAAAAAGGAAGACAUCUUGAGAAAAUUAAAGAUGGUGAAGGUGUACCGGCUGAAGAAUGAUCCAGCAACGUUUGAGCAGCUUAUUGUUAAAUGGCGACGAAUAACACAAGAAGCAGUACAAGAUCUACACCAAAGGAUGCCUGAACCUAGACCUUUAAUCACUGAUCUCAUCAAUCAUUUGCAGAUUGAUCAUAAACUGUUAGGUUAUGUUGCUGAAGAUAUGACUUUUGAUUAUAUAUCAGCCUGAUCUAUGGACUUUAUUCUCUCAGUAAUAUUUACUUUACUUCCUGUUGAAGUUACCACAUCAAAAGGACACUUUGGUGGAACUGAAAGGUAACAGUGUGCAAAUUUUACCAUGCCAGAAAUCAACAAUAUGGACAUUUUUGUCACUUUCAGUGGCAUGGUAUUUAUAUGCUUGGAUUUUAUCUGUGAAAGUUUAAUGGCAAAGGUAUGACAUCCAAGAAGCAGGCUUACUGUGGGUGACGAAUAUGAAUAGUAUUCAUAAAGGUUGCUGAUGACUGGAAAAAAUGGAAACUGUAUUUUUGCUAUAGUUUGUCUAAAUACAUCUUGCUUGUGCUGAUUCAGUGUUUCUGAUUUGUUGUGAUGUGCUUUGUCCUGCCAUCCACUCCAGUAGAGUAAAUCAGUUACUUUGUUGAAGGCCAAAUGAAUUCAAACUAUGCUAGUAAGUCCAUGAAACAUGUUACACACUGAGCACUGAAAAGCAUGUCAUGCUUCCAGUAUCAAGCAGUUCUUUCAGUUUUUCAAAGCUUGUGUGUCUGGUGUUAAUUGAAGUUCUUGUUGUACAAACUCUUUGUAAAUAUCAAAAUUAUCAUUAUGGAAUGUGGCACUUUUAAUCCAGGCCUUCCACUGUGUAAAAGCAGGCUCUGGGAACAAGCUGAGAGGUUCUGUAUCUUGCGGAUCUUUCAUGCAGUUUUCUACUGGGGCAAGAUUUAAAUAUCUUUUUUUCACCAAUGCCACAAAGUUGUUUACACGUGGGAAAUUUUCAUGCUACAGAUCACUGAAUAUUGCAAGUAAUAUGAAUGUAGUAAGGAAGACUUUGCAAGGUAACUCUGUAUGCCUUUAACAUAGAGCUGGCAUUGUCUGUCACCAUGGGAGACACACAGUUAAAAUCAACAACAUAUUUCACAAGACUUUCAUGACAGCCUGACCUACUGUUGUAUAGUUAACUGAAUCAAGAUGCAAUGCAUCUCCCAAAUAAGCUGAAAGUUCCUCUUAAUUAGUAGUUGACAAGCUCUGUGGGAUGAAAAUGUACAAAACAUAGAUUUAGAGUUUUUCAGUAUGCCUUUUAAAUAUUCUUUGUGUGCUGAAUACACUUUAGAAAGAGCCUUGUCUGAGAGUGUCACUGUUUUGCAGUGCUCCACAACUGGGAAUUUUUAUCAUUAAGAAACUUCAUGGCUUUUCAUUAUCCAGCUGUUCCAUCUGUAUGUUUGCUGCACUAAAGGCCUUCUCUAUUUCAAAUAUAUUGACAUUUCAUACCUGUUUGUUUGGUAAGUGUUCAGCAUCAACUUCAAGUUUUAUUUUUUAUUAUGGACAGCACUGUCACAGAGCUCGUUAAUAAUACCUUUCUUGCAAUAAUCCAUGAUGUGAUCCUUUUGGCAAAAUAAAUUUAGCUUUUCUUCAUGCAUCAAGUGUCUUCAUAUUUUAACCAUACACAAGAAAUAUGUUAAAACCCAUUUAAAAUUUGGCACUUUUAGCUCUGACUAGGUGAUUAAUGUACAGAUAAAUAUGCCCUGCUCUCUCUUCAGCUGGUAUUUGUUUGACCCAUUGCUGUAGAACUAUGUACAACCAAUUGUAGCACUGCUUCUACAAUGAAGAGAAUGCAAAAAAUAUUCACAGUAGCCAAUGAGAUACAUAGUUACCUUAGUGUUAUCAUGAACCUUCCCAAGCCCUAUUUAUAGUGGAUAUAUGUAUAUACUACUAUUGUUGCUACCAAAGAAUCUUCAGCAUAUUUGAAAAUACAGUGGUUUAAAGGAUUAUAUGUUUCUGAUUUCUUGAAUUAACUAAGAAUUUUGU